rnacentral:rRNA from 1 species
AACAACUCACCUGCCGAAUGAAUUAGCCCUGAAAAUGGAUGACGCUGAAGCGAAGAGCCGACACCACGCCGUCUGAGCAAAGUGGCUUUUUCAGAUGAGUAGGAGGGCGUGGCGGUCGUAUGGAAGCGUUCGUGCGAACGAGCGUGAAACGGCCGCUAGUGCAGAUCUUGGUGGUAGUAGCAAAUAUUCAAGUGAGAUCCUUGAAGGACGAAGCGGGGAAGGGUUCCACGCGAACAUUGAUUGAGCGUGGGUGAGUCGUUCCUAAGCCGAGUGGUAAUUGCUAAUUACCGGCGAAAGGGAAGCAGGUUGACAUUCCUGCACACGGAUGUGGAGGCGGUGACGCCGUAUUGGGGUGAUGACGUCGGCAGUGGAUCUGGGCAGAGUUUUCUUUUCUGUUUAACCGUCUUUGUUCGCCGUGUGGAAUCCGCUUGUCGGGAGAAACACGCGAACUCGGGCAGAGCGCCGGGGCUUUUCCGGCGUCCAGAUCUCCAUUGACGACCCUUGAAAAAUCACUUACUGGACAUUUAUUCUUCGGAAUUUAUGUGAUAUCCACGCCGUGGCGUACCGAUAACCGCAUCAGGUCCCCAAGGUGAACAGCCUCUGUCCAAUAUGAAAAAU